rnacentral:lncRNA from 1 species
AUGAGAAGUGUCGGGGGCUGUGGGAGGCGGUCUGCUUGGCCCAGAAGGGGGACGGGUGUGACUGGGACCAUGGCUCUGGAGGUCGGGGCAGAGGAGAGAGGCUCAAAAUGGAGGCAGGAGGUGGGUUUGGGGGAAGUGGGAACCCAGAGGUGGAAGAGCUCCUGUAGGAGUAGGGAGGCCCCAGGACAAUUCUGUGGAUGGUCACCAAAGCUGGCCGAGGCGGGUGGAGCGUCCUCAUUUCUCUGGUUUGCUUCCCACAGUUUGGGCACAGCAGCCACAGUCAUCUCUGGCUCCGUUGGUGUGGUGGCUCUCAUCUUGCUUCUGGUGGGUCUCUUGUCCAUGACCCUGAAGAAAUGGAGACAUGAGAGGCUAUUUAAGAAACAACUGAGGCACCAGACCAACUUUCUCCAUAAAACUUCGGAGUUUUCCUGCCACACUGAUGCCAUAUAUUCCAAUGUGAUCAACCUGACUCCCUGGAAAGAGGAUGACUUCGCUGUCUAUGCCAACGUGCCCCCUUUCGAUCGGCCCAGGAAGACAUCACCAGACCAAGUGGAAUAUGCCUCCAUUGUAUUCCACUGAUGGGAAGCCAAUGCGAUGCUUCAGGCUGAGAGUCAAACCUAUGCCCCAGCUGGUGUGUGUGUGUGUGUGUGUGUGUGUGUGUGUGUGUGUGUCUAGUUAGAAAAAUGCAUUAAAACAUUCUAAUGACGGUAAAUGGCUGGGUAUUCUUCUAAUUGAUUGGAAAUAAAGUGCAGUUCUAAUGGAAAGGAGUGGC